ensembl:lncRNA
GAAAUUCCUCGUUAAGGCUGGAAGCUGAACGCAAGGAUCUUUUUAAAAUACAGUCAUCUCUGGUUAAUGAUCAGAUCAGAGGAGCAGCAGCACUCUAGGCUCCACAUUCCUUUUAUUUAUACAAUGCUCUGAUUUACAGAAACUGCUUUAUAGAAAAUUUUGACACAGCCUCUCCCUGGAGAUGAGGAUAAUUUAAGAUUCUGCAUCUGAAGCUAAUUAAACAUAAGAAACAGCAGGUGAGACCCCCAUGGAUGUUGGCAGAGAAGAGAAUACAGCAGUCGGGUUGUAUGGAAAAUGAUCUCUGACAGCUCAGCCAUCCAAGGAGUUUGGUUAUAGCUCAUCCUAAUAAUCCUGAAAGCUUUGUGCCACUAAAUUAAUGGCUAAACCUCAGUAGAAACAACAUGUAAAAAUGAAUCAGGAGAAAAGUUGGCAUCUGAACAAACUUUUCUGUCCUAUUGUUUCCAGUAAUCUGUAUUCAAAUACACACACAUGCAUUGAAAUCUCUGCUUGUCUAUCUUGCAUCUUUGGAAACUGCCUAUUUCAAGCUGAGCUUUUCCUGAACAGGAGUGGAAAGCAGAAUGGAUACGUAUACAGGACGUUGGCACAUUUCUGUAGCAAUACUAGCAUUGAAGCAAACUAAUUUUCAAUAAACUUGAUCACUUUAAACAGGUCAACGACUGUUGAUAUCUUCAUCACUCAUAGCAAUGUUCUGAGUUGCAGCAUUUAUCCAGCCUCACCAUUACGAGGCUCUGCAGUCACCAGAUAAACAAAAUAAAAAUGGUAACCUUCACUUAUUUCUGCAGUGUUCCGUGAAAAUCUUG